rnacentral:rRNA from 1 species
UACGGGGGGGGCAAGCGUUGUUCGGAAUUACUGGGCGUAAAGGGCGUGUAGGUGGCCAACUAAGUCCGACGUGAAAUCCCCAGGCUUAACCUGGGAACUGCGUCGGAUACUGGAUGGCUUGAAUUCGGGAGAGGGAUGCAGAAUUCCAGGUGUAGCGGUGAAAUGCGUAGAUAUCUGGAGGAAUACCGGUGGCGAAGGCAGCUCGCUGGGACGGUACUGACGCUGAGACGCGAAAGCGUGGGGAGCAAACAGG